rnacentral:pre_miRNA from 13 species
CCAGCUUGCGGUACUCAAACUCUGGGGGCACUUUUUGGUGUGUGUAGAAGAGUGCCGCCACGGUUUGAGUGUCGCCGGUGGA